UACAGGGGGGGCAAGCGUUGUUCGGAAUUACUGGGCGUAAAGGGUUCGUAGGUGGCCACUUAAGUCAGACGUGAAAUCCCUCAGCUUAACUGGGGAACUGCGUCUGAUACUGAGUGGCUUGAGUGCAGGGGAGGAAUGCGGAAUUCCAGGUGUAGCGGUGAAAUGCGUAGAUAUCUGGAGGAACACCGGUGGCGAAGGCGGCAUUCUGGACUGUAACUGACACUGAGGAACGAAAGCCAGGGGAGCAAACGGG
rnacentral:rRNA from 1 species